UACCCCGCCAUAGCAAACUCCGAAUACCGAAGAGUGCAAUCACGGGGAGACAGACAUCGGGUGCUAACGUCCGGUGUCAAGAGGGAAACAACCCAGACCGCCAGCUAAGGUCCCCAAAUAUAGCUAAGUGGGAAACGAAGUGGGAAGGCUAAAACAGUCAGGAGGUUGGCUUAGAAGCAGCCACCCUUUAAAGAAAGCGUAAUAGCUCACUGAUCGAGUCGUCCUGCGCGGAAGAUGUAACGGGGCUAAGCUAUAUACCGAAGCUGCGGAUGCGUGCUUAGCACGCAUGGUAGGAGAGCGUUCCGUAAGCCUGCGAAGGUGCCUUGUAAAGGGUGCUGGAGGUAUCGGAAGUGCGAAUGCUGACAUGAGUAGCGAUAAAGGGGGUGAAAGGCCCCCUCGCCGUAAGCCCAAGGUUUCCUACGCAACGUUCAUCGGCGUAGGGUGAGUCGGCCCCUAAGGCGAGGCAGAAAUGCGUAGCUGAUGGGAAGCAGGUCAAUAUUCCUGCACCAUUGUUAGAUGCGAUGGGGGGACGGAUCGCGGAAGGUUGUCCGGGUGUUGGAAGUCCCGGUCGCUGCAUUGGAGAAGGCGCUUAGGCAAAUCCGGGCGCGGAAUUCAAGGGUGUGGCGCGAGCUCCUUAGGGAGCGAAGCAAUUGGAAGUGGUUCCAAGAAAAGCCUCUAAGCUUCAGUCUAACGAUGACCGUACCGCAAACCGACACAGGUGGGCGAGAUGAGUAUUCUAAGGCGCUUGAGAGAACUCGGGAGAAGGAACUCGGCAAAUUGGUACCGUAACUUCGGGAUAAGGUACGCCCUUGUAGCUUGACUGGCUUGCGCCAGAAGGGUGAAGGGGUUGCAAUAAACUGGUGGCUGCGACUGUUUAAUAAAAACACAGCACUCUGCAAACACGAAAGUGGACGUAUAGGGUGUGACGCCUGCCCGGUGCCGGAAGAUUAAAUGAUGGGGUGCAAGCUCUUGAUUGAAGUCCCGGUAAACGGCGGCCGUAACUAUAACGGUCCUAAGGUAGCGAAAUUCCUUGUCGGGUAAGUUCCGACCUGCACGAAUGGCGUAACGAUGGCCACACUGUCUCCUCCCGAGACUCAGCGAAGUUGAAGUGUUUGUGAUGAUGCAAUCUACCCGCGGCUAGACGGAAAGACCCCAUGAACCUUUACUGUAGCUUUGCAUUGGACUUUGAACCGAUCUGUGUAGGAUAGGUGGGAGGCUAUGAAACCGGAACGCUAGUUUCGGUGGAGCCGUCCUUGAAAUACCACCCUGGUUUGUUUGAGGUUCUAACCUUGGCCCGUGAUCCGGGUCGGGGACAGUGCAUGGUAGGCAGUUUGACUGGGGCGGUCUCCUCCCAAAGCGUAACGGAGGAGUACGAAGGUACGCUAGGUACGGUCGGAAAUCGUGCUGAUAGUGCAAUGGCAUAAGCGUGCUUAACUGCGAGACCGACAAGUCGAGCAGGUGCGAAAGCAGGUCAUAGUGAUCCGGUGGUUCUGUAUGGAAGGGCCAUCGCUCAACGGAUAAAAGGUACUCUGGGGAUAACAGGCUGAUACCGCCCAAGAGUUCAUAUCGACGGCGGUGUUUGGCACCUCGAUGUCGGCUCAUCUCAUCCUGGGGCUGUAGCCGGUCCCAAGGGUAUGGCUGUUCGCCAUUUAAAGAGGUACGUGAGCUGGGUUUAAAACGUCGUGAGACAGUUUGGUCCCUAUCUGCCGUGGGCGUUGGAUAUUUGAAGGGGGCUGCUCCUAGUACGAGAGGACCGGAGUGGACGAACCUCUGGUGUACCGGU
rnacentral:rRNA from 1 species